UGUUUCUCCUUAUUAGAAAGCUGUCCGAUCAUGAGUAUAAAGCAAAACAUAUAUUCUUUCAUCAUAAAUACAAAUGCUGAUUGCCACUUUGGUGCAUACUGUGAACUGCCCUUGAUAUUUGGUAUCCAGUAGCUCUGCGUGCAGGUUUCUAUUUUGUCUGCUCUUGCUUUGCCUUUCAUUGAUUAGCUGGGUACAGAAACAGAACUUCUUUGUCACUUCACUGGAAGCUGUCUGGAUGGCUACAAAGUGUAUCAUAGAUCAAUUCUACUCAGAGGACUGAUUGCAACAAAGUCAAUAGCAGAGCACGAAAGCACAUACGGUAUUACAGGAGCAGGAAUGAAAGAGAAAAGCAGUACUUUAAAAAAAAAAUCCAGCUGAAGCCAAGUCCACAUGCCCUAGAAAUAGCAAAUUACUUCUACACCCAUCACCUUGAAUAGUUAAAAAGAAGGGGAAGAAGGCAGAGACAGGCUGAAAGGAGAAAAAAGCUGGAGAAUCACUGAGGAUCCAUUAUAUCACUGGAGAUCACAAAUACCUGCUGAGUCGAUCCCAUACCUACAUGGUUGUACAGCAGGCACUCCUGGAGAGCUGGCAAAUGUUUGCUGUAACCAAGAUACAAAAGAAAAUGUUCUGUGAUACUUUCAAGCAGAGAAGCUGUACCCAAAUAUUUUUCUGUUACGAGGCAAAUGGAAGAAAGCAAAGCUGUGGCCCCAUGAGACACAUUGUGAUCUGCAAGUAGGUUUAUAGCGUGAAUGCCAGGGACCUUGAGGAUUUAAGGCUUUCAUACACAAGCUCAAGGCCUGUCUAUAACGCAGAUAGAAGAUGAAUACCAUCCAAUUACCCAACUGUGUAUGCAGGAGGGUAUCCUUCCUGUACAAUGUCUCUCACAGCACGCAUUGAUGCUCAUAUUUAGAGACCGACAUAUUUUCAAUGCAAAAAAAAAUCUAUCAAAACA